AUUGAACGCUGGCGGCAGGCCUAACACAUGCAAGUCGAACGAGUGGCGGACGGGUGAGUAAUGUCUGGGAAACUGCCCGAUGGAGGGGGAUAACUACUGGAAACGGUAGCUAAUACCGCAUACCAUCGGAUGUGCCCAGAUGGGAUUAGCUAGUAGGUGGGGUAACGGCUCACCUAGGCGACGAUCCCUAGCUGGUCUGAGGGGAUGACCGCCAACACUGGACCUGAGACAGGGUCCAGACUCCUAGGUGGGGCAGCAGUGGGGAAUUUUGCACAAGGGGCGAAAGCCGGAUGCAGCCAUGCCGCGUGUAUGAAGAAGGCCUUGGGGUUGUAAAGUACUUUCAGCGAGGAGGCGUUACUCGCAGAAGAAGCAUCGGCUAACUCCGUGCCAGCAGCCGCGUAAUUC
rnacentral:rRNA from 1 species